rnacentral:rRNA from 1 species
AUUGAACGCUGGCGGCAGGCCUAACACAUGCAAGUCGAACGAGUGGCGGACGGGUGAGUAAUGUCUGGGAAACUGCCCGAUGGAGGGGGAUCACUACUGGAAACGGUAGCUAAUACCGCAUACCAUCGGAUGUGCCCAGAGGGGAUUAGCUAGUAGGUGGGGUAAUGGCUCACCUAGGCGACGAUCCCUAGCCGGUCUGAGAGGAUGACCAGACACACUGGAACUGAGACACGGUCCCGACUCCUACGGUAGGCAGCAGUGGGGAAUAUUGCAAAAUGGGGGCAAGCCUGAUGCAGCCAUGCCGCGUGUAUGAAGAAGGCCUUCGGGUUGUAAAGUACUUUCAGCGGGGAGGCGUUACCCGCAGAAAAAGCACCGGCUAACUCCGUGCCAGCAGCCGCGGUAAUAC